rnacentral:rRNA from 1 species
UACGGGGGGGGCAAGCGUUGUUCGGAAUUACUGGGCGUAAAGGGCUCGUAGGCGGCCAACUAAGUCAGACGUGAAAUCCCUCGGCUUAACCGGGGAACUGCAUCUGAUACUGGAUGGCUUGAGUUCGGGAGAGGGAUGCGGAAUUCUAGGUGUAGCGGUGAAAUGCGCAGAUAUCGGGAGGAACACCGGUGGCGAAGGCGGUUCUCUGGGCCUUACCUGACGCUGAGGAGCGAAAGCAUGGGGAGCGAACAGG